GCCGACCCACAGAUAAGGGGUCAAGACAAACCAGGAAGAGAGAGAGGAAGGGGCUGGGGGAUCUAUGAACCAUAGAGAAAGAGAAAAUAUAUAUCAGCUGGAUUUACCCUGUAUGACCUGGACUGUUUGGACUUACCUGUUGGCAUUUGGACCUGGACCCACUGAGAACCCGAUUCGUGUACCUGUGACAGGAUAAUAAAUAAUGCUCAACUGGGACCACUGGCUGGGUGAUAUAUUUGGACAAAACACAACGCAAGGAGAGUAUGAUUAACAUCUGUUACACUAGUGCCGAGACUCGUCUUGCCUUCGCCGGACGUGACGUGGAGGGUUCCGAGACCCAGCUUCAAGAAGUACUGUGGUUGCUGAUGCACACCAGAGGCUUAGGUUUCGCAUUCUGCACAAGUGGAAUUCUCAGGGAGCUCCUGGUAGCAUGAUGUUCAACGUUUGGUUAAUAAAUCCAGAAAAUGUACACCAACUCUGCUGCAUAUUGGUCCACCUUUUCGGAUGACGAUUUCGCUAUGUCGUCCUCCGACGAAGAAAGCCGUGACAGUGAUAGAAUGAUUAUUUAGUGAUGUAAUUGUGCUGUUAUGCUAGUAACUUUCCGACGCCAGUUAACGUGAG
rnacentral:lncRNA from 1 species